rnacentral:misc_RNA from 1 species
GAUGAAGAACGUAGCGAAAUGCGAUAACUAGUGUGAAUUGCAGAUUUUAGUGAAUCAUCGAAUCUUUGAACGCACAUUGCGCCCCUUGGUAUUCCGAGGGGCAUGCCUGUUCGAGCGUCAUAUUAACCACUCCCGCUUGCGGGGUCUUGGGCUUCGCCUCCGGGCGGGCCUUAAAAUCAGUGGCGGUGCCGUCGGGCUCUACGCGUAGUAAAUUUUCUCGCGAUAGGGUCCCGGUGGAUGCUUGCCAACAACCCCCAACUUCUUAAGGUUGACCUCGGAUCAGGUAGGGAUACCCGCUGAACUUAAGCAUAUCAAUAAGCGGAGGA